UACGAAGGGGGCUAGCGUUGCUCGGAAUCACUGGGCGUAAAGCGCACGUAGGCGGAUUUUUAAGUCAGGGGUGAAAUCCUGGAGCUCAACUCCAGAACUGCCUUUGAUACUGAAGAUCUUGAGUUCGGGAGAGGUGAGUGGAACUGCGAGUGUAGAGGUGAAAUUCGUAGAUAUUCGCAAGAACACCAGUGGUGAAGGCGGCUCACUGGCCCGAUACUGACGCUGAGGCACGAAAGCGUGGGGAGCAAACAGG
rnacentral:rRNA from 1 species